rnacentral:lncRNA from 1 species
GGAAGAAGGACGUGGGCCCUCUCUUCCUCCAGAUUCGCGAUGUGAUUCACAAGCAAGGGAGGAGGCCAAUGGAAAGCGUCCGAUAAGAUAAGUCUUAUAAAAUAUAUAGAUUUAUGAUAAAUAAGACCGAGCUAACAGAUGAGAAUCCUAGUCACUGGCCAAGCAGCAUUUGUACCUAACAUAAGUCUCUGUGCAUUAAUUGGAACCCUAACUCGGCGAGCAGAACUCAGGCGGCUGGCAGAGACCACCCACAUGGCAGUAGGGCUCGGGCGGCUUUUGGCAGAAAGAUUUGAUUUAUCAUAACAACCAGGCAUGAAGUCCUCCUGUGAAGCAGGCCUUGAAUCCGGAAAUCAGAAAGUAGCUGGUUACUAGAACAGUCAUGCCAGUAUUAUACACAUGGGCACAUCUUGCCUUGAAAGUUGGUUUUGUAGCCUACAGGAUUCAUUGCUAGGUAUGACCAUUGAUAACCUAUUCCUCCAGUGGCCUAUAUGGCAUGUUCUGGCACUAUGAAAGUUAGCCACUGGGAAGAAGUUUCUGCAUCAAUUCUAGCUUGAUUUCUCUGAGUUUUGUAACCAACACGUGUGGAGUCUUCUACAAUAGGGUCUUAUCAUCUAGUUCUAGUGGGAAACCAAGAACAAUAGCAAUAGCCUAUACUGUUUGGAGGCCUCUGGGCCUUCCCAACUAAUAACUUAUAUCAAGAUAGUCUAUACCUGGCACUGGAAUUUUCAUUUAAUAAUGACCCUUGACUUACAGGAGCAGCAUUACCUCACAUACAGGGUACCAAUGUUGAAAGUUAUUAAAAUUAUUAGCUUACAAAGUAGUGGGUUUCUAUAAGUUUUUCUUUCAUGUAUCCUUAGUUUGGUUUACCCUGUCUCUCGCUCCCCUUCUUUAAUCUUUCUACCCCCAUCUCAGUCUUCCCUACUUCUACUUACAUAUUACGUGUGUUCUAACGUCCCAUCCUCCCGCUCAUGGACCCUUCCUGACCUCCACAGACACUCCAAAUAAAUACACAAAUCAGGCUGCUGAGAUGGCUCAGCAGGGAAAAGUGCUGCACACAAGCCUGAUGACCUGAAUUUGAUCCAGGAACCCAUGGUGGAAGGAGACCACUGACUUCUGAAAGUUGUUCUCUGACACCACACACACAUCAUGGCAUACAUAUGCCCCUCCUCCCAUAAUAUUCGCUACCUUUUGGCAGUGUAUUAGUAAUUAUUCUGUUGCUGAGAUAAAAUACCAUGACCAAAAGUAAUUAAGAAAGAAUUAUUUUGUUUUAGCUUAGGACUCCAGAGUUAGAGUUCAUCAUGACAGGGAAGGCAUGACCGAAGGAGCAGGAGUCAGAGAGAUCAUAUUUUAUCUACGCACAGGAUGCAGAAAGAGAAAACAGGAGGUGGUGUGUAGGGAGACACUGUAGCCCCGCCUCCUAGUAGCCCCUACAGAUGUGCCUGACCACGCCCUAAGUAAUAAAAAAGCCACAUAAAGAUAGAAAAUACACAGAGAAUCUGGAUACUAUAUGCCAUAUUGUUGUCUUUAAAUUGUUUGAUUGCUGAGGAAAGACUUAUACUGCUGCUAAAAUACAUUUGAUUAUAAAUGCUGCUAAAUUAAUCCAACUUAAACAUUUUAAAAAUGCUUUGACUUCAAAAUUUAAGUCUAAGGACAGGCUACUUGGAAAAAGAAUUUCUGUUUGUGUUUCCACAGAAAAUAAAAAGCUAUGGAUUCCUUCCAGACUAAUACGGUUUGAUCAAGCAAGACCCCCUGAAGCUGAGAUGAUACAGCCUUACAGACUAUAAAAACAAGGACUUGGUCAGAUUUCUAUGUUUUAUCAUGAUCCCCAUGGUAUAUGAACAUCGCCCCCAAUCAGCAGGAAGCAGUUUAGAAGGAACGAUGCCCAAAUUCCCAAAUAUUGUUUAUAAAUGUUUGUUUUCAUUUAAAUGGGUUUGGUUAUAAAUGAUAAUGUACAUAGUCAAUUUUUUUAAAGAAAAAGGGGAGUAGGAUAUAGGAAUGAAUACUUUGCGUUGGUAUAGAUUUUCAUUUAUUGAUACAACUUUAAGGUCAAUUUUGUGAUAUGUAUAUGUCUCCUCUUGUUUAGGUAUUGUGUUUAUACAGAUCUUUUAAAAUGAUACACAUAAUUAAAUACAGGUUAUAUAAUCACCUAUGAUAGUCAGAACUUAUAAUUAGGUUAGUUAGGUUUUCUAGAUAUAUAGAGAUAUAUUUGAGAUGGAUAGGUAUUCUUCAAACCUUUCAAAGACCUAUGGAAAUAUGGCAUUUAAAUGGUUUAGGUUUUUUCUUGGCAGUGAGACAACUUCUCCUGGCACACCAAUUACGUCAGAAAGGAGGAUGGAUGGGCAUCGAAGGAACUUGAUAUGGAGUUUGCUUUCAACAUGGCAAGAUUAGCCAUUUGAGCAAGAAACUUUUCUUGCCUGGACUGUUUGUUGCUGUAUAAACUGGACAUGCAGGACCCACAAGAAAGUGACAGCUGAACUUACAAACAAGACAGUACUGAAGGGUUCCUGUUGAAAUGGAGAAGUGUGCCAGACACACUAUGGCCUAUAGGCUAAAGAUGGAUGCCCCAACAUUACAGAGGAACUUUGGGUGACUGUCCAGAUAGUCAGAUGUCUCUGUCAAUUCUAGAGUAUAUAUAUUAUCCUUCUGUGGUCUUUGAUAGAGUUGAAAACAGAUAAUUAUGGUUAUAGUUUUCUUCAGUUAUUAUAAAAGAUAAGUUAUCUUCCUUUUUAUUUAGACAGAAAAGGGGAGAUGAUGAGGGAAGUACUUCUGUGUAUGUUUAUCUUAUUGAUUGUUGGCCAAUGAAACAGCAAGUUAGACAGGACUAGGAGUCAAAGAGGAUUCUGGGAAAUGUAGUAGAGAAGUGGUGAUCCAGGCAGGAAGUGACAUAGCAAGGAGACUCAUAUUUAGCAAGGAGAAACAGGAAGUGCCCCCCUUUCCCCUUCGCCUCCUCCAGCGGCGGGAUAUGAGCCACCAGCAAGGAGGGAUGCCAAUAAGGCGUCUGGUACAGACUGAGAAGAAAGGACAGCCAAGGAGGCAUCGUCUGAGGAAGGAGGAGAAGAAAGACAUUGUGCUGGGCGUGGCUAGUCAGCUUAGCAGUCUAGACCAUUGUUUAGGAAGAACUCUCCUCUCAUCAUCAGCUUGGGACUCCACCUACCAUGUCUCUGCUGAACAGUAAUUUGAAGGACUUUCCAACUCCAUGUCCCUCUGGUCACAUAAUGGCUGCUGAGACUCCAACCAUCUUGACCACAUGUUUAC